GUUAUUUCUCGGCCUUUUGGCUAAGAUCAAGUGUAGUAUCUUUUUUAAAGUCCAGUGCUGAUUAUAUGUACAUACUAGACUCAGUGAAAGACAGAAAAACAACUUUUUUCAGUGUAUUUGUUUUAAAUCUGAGAGUGAGGGAGCUACUCAUAAUAAACCAACCGGUUGAUGAAUUUCUCUAAGUCCUUUAGAGAGCAGAACAAAC
ensembl:snRNA U2 U2 spliceosomal RNA